rnacentral:tRNA from 1 species
CCCUGCAUAGCUCAACGGCAGAGCAGUCGGCUGUAACCCGAUGCGUCCUGGUUCAAGUCCGGGUGCAGGGA